UACGGAGGGGGCUAGUGUUGUUCGGAAUUACUGGGCGUAAAGGGUUCGUAGGCGGUGUGGCAAGUCGGAAGUGAAAUCUCUAGGCUCAACCUAGAGGCUGCUCCCGAAACUGCCAUGCUAGAGUGCGGGAGAGGCGAGUGGAAUUACAGGUGUAGCGGUGAAAUGCGUAGAUAUCUGUAGGAACACCCGUGGCGAAGGCGGCUCGCUGGACCGCAACUGACGCUGAGGUGCGAAAGCGUGGGGAGCAAACAGG
rnacentral:rRNA from 1 species